rnacentral:rRNA from 1 species
UCUUGGAAACGGGUGGGUAAUGCUGGAUGCUCCAACUUGACGCAUGUCUUGUUGGGAAAGUGUUUAGUGGCAUGGGAUGGGGUCGGCGUCCUAUCAGCUUGUAGGCGGGGUAAUGGCCCACCUAGGCUUCGACGGGUAGCCGGCCUGAGAGGGCGGACGGCCACAUUGGGACUGAGACACGGCCCAAACUCCUACGGGAGGCAGCAGCU